rnacentral:lncRNA from 1 species
GUUAUAAAAUGAACGGGGAUAUGAGCGAAUAUUGAACUGCACGUAAAGUAGAUGAGACACAGCAUUUAACGAGGUUCGGCUAUGCCUACGUCCUCGGAGAGCAGCAACAGUUACAACUCUAGUGUUUACAAUAUGUAUGCUCACCUAAUUUUCUCUCUAGGAGAAUUUCUCUUUGCUCUCUUUCUCUUCACACACUCACCCUCUUUCUUCCUUCCCUUCAUCUUCUCUCAUUUCAUCUCACAUUACAAGCAAAUAGAAUGCCUAUUUAUAGGCAAAGCAAAUGGCUUGGUUUGGUGGGUGUGUGAUUUGGUUUGGUAGGUGUGUGGUUUGGUUUGAUGGGUGUGUGGUUUGAUUUGGUGGGUGUGUGGUUUGAUUUUGUGUUCAACUUGAAUGUUAGAGCAUGUGUUGAACUUGAAUGUUAGUUUGCAAUGUGGGCUUCACCCAUUUUACAACACUCCCCCUUGGAGACCACAUGUCCCUAGAUUGGUUGCCUCAUUAAAACCUUGCUUGGAGAAAACCUAGUGAGGUAGAAAACUGAUGGAAGGAAGAAAGAAGAGUAUAACAAUCUGUAUAGCAUACUUCUGGAUGCUCCCCC